rnacentral:rRNA from 1 species
GAUUGAACGCGUGGCGGCGUGCCUAAUACAUGCAAGUCGAGCGGAACGGACGAGAAGCUUGCUUCUCUGAUGUUAGCGGCGGACGGGUGAGUAACACGUGGAUAACCUACCUAUAAGACUGGGAUAACUUCGGGAAACCGGAGCUAAUACCGGAUAAUAUUUUGAACCGCAUGGUUCAAAAGUGAAAGACGGUCUUGCUGUCACUUAUAGAUGGAUCCGCGCUGCAUUAGCUAGUUGGUAAGGUAACGGCUUACCAAGGCAACGAUGCAUAGCCGACCUGAGAGGGUGAUCGGCCACACUGGAACUGAGACACGGUCCAG